UGAACAACCUGCCCGAGCGAGGGGGAUAGCCGGCCCAACGGCCGGGUAAUACCGCAUAUGCUCACAGUGCCUUAUGGCGCAGUGAGGAAACCUUCGGGGCGCUCGGGAGGGGUUCGCGACCUAUCAGCUAGUUGGUGGGGUAAUGGCCUACCAAGGCAACGACGGGUAGCUGGUCUGAGAGGAUGGCCAGCCACAGUUGGGACUGCGACACCGGCCCAGACCUCCGUACGGGAGCAGC
rnacentral:rRNA from 1 species